rnacentral:rRNA from 1 species
GAUGAACGCUGGCGGCGUGCCUAAUACAUGCAAGUCGAGCGAACAGACGAGGAGCUUGCUCCUUUGACGUUAGCGGCGGACGGGUGAGUAACACGUAGGUAGCCUACCUAUAAGACUGGGAUAACUUCGGGAAACCGGAGCUAAUACCGGAUAAUAUUUCGAACCGCAUGGUUCGAUAGUGAAAGAUGGCUUUGCUAUCACUUAUAGAUGGACCUGCGCCGUAUUAGCUAGUUGGUAAGGUAACGGCUUACCAAGGCAACGAUACGUAGCCGACCUGAGAGGGUGAUCGGCCACACUGGAACUGAGACACGGUCCAGACUCCUACGGGAGGCAGCAGUAGGGAAUCUUCCGCAAUGGGCGAAAGCCUGACGGAGCAACGCCGCGUGAGUGAUGAAGGUCUUCGGAUCGUAAAACUCUGUUAUUAGGGAAGAACAAACGUGUAAGUAACUGUGCACGUCUUGACGGUACCUAAUCAGAAAGCCACGGCUAACUACGUG